rnacentral:rRNA from 1 species
AUUGAACGCUGGCGGCAUGCCUUACACAUGCAAGUCGAACGGCAGCGGGGGAGAAGCUUGCUUUUCCUGCCGGCGAGUGGCGAACGGGUGAGUAAUACAUCGGAACGUGCCCUGUAGUGGGGGAUAACUAGUCGAAAGAUUAGCUAAUACCGCAUACGACCUGAGGGUGAAAGUGGGGGACCGCAAGGCCUCAUGCUAUAGGAGCGGCCGAUGUCUGAUUAGCUAGGUGGUGGGGUAAAGGCCUACCAAGGAGACGAUCAGUAGCUGGUCUGAGAGGACGAUCAGCCACACUGGGAAUGAGACACGGCCCAGACUCCUACGGGAGGCAGCAGUGGGGAAUUUUGGACAAUGGGCGAAAGCCUGAUCCAGCAAUGCCGCGUGUGUGAAGAAGGCCUUCGGGUUGUAAAGCACUUUUGUCCGGAAAGAAAUGGCUCUGGUUAAUACCUGGGGUCGAUGACGGUACCGGAAGAAUAAGGACCGGCUAACUACGUGCCAGCCGCCGCGGUAA